rnacentral:lncRNA from 1 species
UUAGGGUUUGGUUUAGAAUUUGAUUUUGAGUUAGGAUUUGGUUAAGAUUUGGUUUAGGAUUUAGGAUUUGGUUAGGAUUUGAUAUAGGGUUAGGAUUUGAUUUAGAGUUAGGAUUUGAUUAGGAUUUGAUUUAAGAUUAGAACUUCGUUCGGAUUUGGUUAGGAUUUGAUUUGGAAUUAGGAUUUGGUUUAGGAUUUAGGAUUUGUUUAGGAUUUGAUUUAGGAUUAGGAUUUGGUUAAGAUUUAGUUUAGGAUUUAGGAUUUAGUUAGUAUUUGAUUUAGGAUUAGGAUUUGGUUAGGAUUUGAUUUAGGGUUGAUUAGGAUUUGAUUUAGAGUUAGGAUUUGGUUAGGGUUUGAUUUAGGAUUAGAGUUUGGUUAGGAUUUAAUAAAGAUUUGAUUUAGGAUUUAAUUAAGGUUUGAUUUAGGAUUAGAGUUUGGUUUAGCAUUUAGGAUUUAGGAUUUAUUUAGGAUUUGAUUUAAAGUUAGGAUUUGGUUAAGAUUUAAUUUAGGAUUUAGGGUUUGGUUAGGAUUUGAUUUAGGAUUAGGAUUUGGUUAGGAUUUAAUUUAGAAUUAAGAUUUGGUUAAGUUUUGAUUUAGUAUUAGGAUUUGAUUAGGAUUUGGUUAAGAUUUGAUUUAAGAUUAAGGUUUGGUUUAAGAUUUAGGAUUUGAUUAGGGAUUGAUUUAGGAUUAAGAUUUGAUUUAGAAUUUAGGAUUUGAUUUAGGAUUUAGAGUUUGAUUCAAGGUUUAAAGUUUGAUUAGGAUUUGAACAAGAUUUGAUUUAGGCUUUAGGAUUUUAUUUGAGUUUGUUUAGGAUUUAAGAUUUAGUUAGUUUUUGGCCUAAAGUUUGAAUGCAGUCCAAUAAGAUUUCAACUAGGAUUAAAUUAAGAUUGAAUUGAGAUGUAUUUGAAAUAUAUUUGUAAUCAUUCUAAUAUUUCUUUAAGAUUUCUUAUUGUUUCUUUGGAAUUCCUUUGAGGUUUCUCUAAAUUUGAUUAAAGCUUAUUUAGCAUUGUUAGUGUUCUAUUAGAAUUAGGAUUUUGUUGUUGCAAUUUCCAUUCUACCUUUCACAACUAGGUGCUAAGAGCAUUCUCAAGCAAGACUUCAUGUAUUACAACAACGUAAGAUUUAUUAUGAUAGUAAAUUAUGUUCCAAAGCUUUUCUAUCCAAUGAUCUAGUGCUUCUUUAUGAUAGCUAAUUUAACAAU